AUAAUAAUUUGUCUUUUAAUUAAAGGCUAGAAUGAAUGAUUGGACGAAGUAAUAACUGUCUUAAUUAUAUUUAUAUUUAAAUUUAAUUUUUUUGUAAAAAAGCAAAAAUUAAAUUAGGGGACGAGAAGACCCUAUAGAACUUUAUAAUUAAAAUAAAAAUAAGAUUAAAUUAAGAUAUUUUUAUAAAUAUUAUUUUAUUGGGGUGAUAAAAAAAUUUAUUAAACUUUUUUAAUUUAAUAAAAACAUUAAUUUAUGAAUUAUUGAUCCUAAUUUUUAGAUUAUUAGAAUAAGUUACCUUAGGGAUAACAGCAUAAUUUUUUUUAAAAGUUCCUAUUAAUAAAAAAGAUUAU
rnacentral:rRNA from 1 species